AGUGAACGCUGGCGGUAGGCCUAGCACAUGCAAGUCGAACGGCAGCACAGUAAGAGCUUGCUCUUACGGGUGGCGAGUGGCGGACGGGUGAGGAAUACAUCGGAAUCUACUUUUUCGUGGGGGAUAGCGUAGGGAAACUUACGCUAAUACCGCAUACGACCUACGGGUGAAAGCAGGGGAUCUUCGGACCUUGCGCGAUUGAAUGAGCCGAUGUCGGAUUAGCUAGUUGGCGGGGUAAAGGCCCACCAAGGCGACGAUCCGUAGCUGGUCUGAGAGGAUGAUCAGCAACACUGGAACUGAGACACGGUCCAGACUCCUACGGGAGGCAGCAGUGGGGAAUAUUGGACAAUGGGCGCAAGCCUGAUCCAGCCAUACCGCGUGGGUGAAGAAGGCCUUCGGGUUGUAAAGCCCUUUUGUUGGGAAAGAAAAGCAGCAGGUUAAUACCCCGCUGUUCUGACGGUACCCAAAGAAUAAGCACCGGCUAACUUCGUG
rnacentral:rRNA from 1 species